UCUACUUCUCAUACAUAAAGGUGAAUCUUCUCCUUUACACAUGUUCACUUGACCCCUUCGAGGAUGGUAUACUACUUGACACUCCACUCGUGUGCAUGCAUAGGUAUUGUCGGAGCUUCACGAACGACGAGGAGGAGUGCAAGCGCCAAGGAACGCCUACACCAUCCGCGAGGGAAGCAUGGAAGUGAAGACGGAAGAAGAAGGACCUGCCCAGUCCAGAAAGGGAGGUACUACCGCCCAAAGCAAGCGGUACUACCGCUCAAGCGGUAGUACCGCCCAUGAGUCCGGUACUACCACCCUGCCUGUGCGCAGCCGCGGGCCUUUGGCCUUGUAUCCCUCUCCCACUUACCCCUUCAUGGCUUAGACUAUAAAUAGACCACCUCCACCUCCUUUUUAGGGUUAGCAAAGUGAUAGCUCAUUUGUAUAUGAGCUUUGCUCCUACCUAUCUCUACUCUUGAGAGAGAGAGACCACUACUCCAUUGGAGGCCAAGACCUCCAUCUAGGAGAAGAUCCUACGAGAUAUCAUCAAGACCCCCUCGUGGGAAGAUCCGUCUAGGAUAUCAUCAAGACCUCCUCUUGGAGAUGAACCUUGCCUUGUAUCUUUCCCUUUGUUGUUCAUGUACCUUGUGAUCUUUUGUAUUUGAUUGUCUAGUGGAUGUGUGAUUGGACUUGUUCUUGAGUGUUUCACUUUGUGAUUUCUCCCCGUUCUUCCCCGUGUUCUUCAUGCUCUUCGAGGGAUCCCACUCCAAACAUGAAAGAUCGGCCUACACCGGGUUAGCCCCAUAUCGAUGAUGUGGAGCAUCCUAUGGACAUCACCAUGUCAAGAGUCUGUUCGGCAAGUGACACAUGCGACAUCUACUUCUCAUACAUAAAGGUGAAUCUUAUCCUUUACACGUGUUCACUUGACCCCUUCGAGGAUGGUAUACUACUUGACACUUCUCCCGUGUGCAUGCAUAGGUACUGUUGGAGCUUCACGGAUGUCGAGGAGGAGUGCAAGCGCCAAGGAACCACUACACCAUCCGUGAGGGAAGCCUGGAAGCGAAGACGGAAGAAGAAGGACCUGCCUAGUCCAGAAAGGGCGGUACUACCGCCCAAAGC
rnacentral:lncRNA from 1 species